CAAUUGAGCAGUUGUCUGUCGCGGUGGUCGGCCGGGUUGCGUGCCGCCUGCUGCGAGAUGCACCAAUAAGCCCGAACCCACCGGCUUGGUGACCACCGCACGCUGCGUGUGGG
rnacentral:sRNA from 1 species